UAAUCGGCGGUUCACUAAAUUUUGAAGCUAUUAAUUCCGACGAGGAAGAGCUUCUGGAAAAUGCUAAUUUUAAAGGGCCCGAAAGGAGAAAAUCCAUAUAAUCCUAAAUUCUGAAGAUCUUGUUAAGAAAAAGAAAGGAAGCAAAACGCAUAGCAAAACAAGACCGAGAAAAAAAAUUUAUCAUAGAAAGAAAGCAUAGAACUCCAAUUAAUAAAUUUUGGUUAUUUUAUAAACCGCUAUAAA